AUAUUAGACUAGCCAUGCAUGUCUAAGUAUAAAUAACUACACAGUAAAACUGCGAAUGGCUCAUUAAAACAGUUAUAGUUUAUUUGAUAUAACAAAUGGAUAACUGUAGAAAAACUAGAGCUAAUACAUGCCAUAACCGUAAGAGUUGUAUUUAUUAGGUAUUCCCUGGUAGGUGAUUCAUAAUAACUUAGCGAAUCGUGACUUGUUCACGAUAAAUCAUUCAAGUUUCUGCCCCUAUCAUGCUUUCGAUGGUAGUGUAUUGGGACUACCAUGGGCUCUCCACGGGGUAACGGAGGAAAUUAGGGUUCGAUUCCGGAGAAAGGAAGCCCUGAGAAAACGGGCUACUACAUUCUUAAGGGAAGGGCAGCCAGGGCGGCGUAAAAUUACCCCAAAUCCCUGGACCUCCAGGGGAGGGUAGUGGAACAAAGAAUAAUUAAACAAACGUUGAAAGUUCAAAAUUUCCGCCGAUUUGUUAGGUGGAGGGUUUAUUUCCAAAACCG
rnacentral:rRNA from 1 species